UAGUGACGAAAAAUAACGAUGCAGGACUCAUCCGAGGCCCUGUGAUUGGAAUGAGUACACUUUAAAUCCUUUAACGAGGACCUAUUGGAGGGCAAGUCUGGUGCCAGCAGCCGCGGUAACUCCAGCUCCAAUAGCGUAUAUUAAAGUUGCUGCGGUUAAAAAGCUCGUAGUUGGAUAUCGGUCGCGAUCAGGUGGUGCCGCCUCGCGGUGUGCACUGCCUCGAUUGGACAAUCCACCGGACUGUCCGGGGUGCUCUUAACCGAGUGUCCUGGGUGGCCGGUACGUUUACUUUGAACAAAUUAGAGUGCUUAAAGCAGGUGCUCCGCGCCUGAAUAUCACAGCAUGGAAUGAUGGAAUAGGACCUCGGUCUUAUUUUGUUGGUUUUCUGGACUUGAGGUAAUGGUUAAUAGAGACAGACGGGGGCAUUCGUACUGCGACGCUAGAGGUGAAAUUCUUGGACCGUCGCAAGACGAACAACUGCGAAAGCAUUUGCCAAGAAUGUUUUCAUUAAUCAAGAACGAAAGUUAGAGGUUCGAAGGCGAUCAGAUACCGCCCUAGUUCUAACCAUAAACGAUGCCAACCAGCGAUCCGCAGACGU
rnacentral:rRNA from 1 species